AGUCCAGGUUGUAUGGGGGUUUGCCGAGUAGUGAGAUCGAGGAAGUGGUGAGGGGACUCAUGGCGAUGGCAUCUGUGGCGGCUGCGACUUCCUGCGGCGGAGCGGCGAUGGAAGCCGAUGGCCUGGAUUUCCUCAUGGAUCUAGUUGACCGAUCAGAACAGAGCUGUGGUCUGUGGAGAUGGCAAAGUUGACCGGGAUUAAAUCCGUAGGAUGGACUUCAAGCUAAUGAGAUACAGUACAAGAUUGAGUGGCUAAAAAAGUUUUAUGUUCCCGGUGUACUGCAUGGAUUGCUGGUCCUUGUACAUCCUGGAGGCAGAGAAGAAGAUCUUCAGGGUGUUGAACCCGACUGAGACACACCCCAGUGACGGGAUGGAAACGAAACACAGUGCCUUUGCAAAGAGAACCCAGCGUCGAUUCUGACAAUGCUUCAACAAUAUAUUCGGUGGAUGAUUGGUUGACGUGGACGGAUGGACUUCUGUCUAUCUGUUGGUGGCCCAUCGCGAUCCUUGUACAAGGUGAGUGAAUGCCAAGCGCAAUUUUUGGAAUGUACGGUAGUAUAGAAGAUAUUGGUGUUGGACUAAUGAUUUGUUGACAGGGAGGAGAGCGGUAUUUACAUUGUGCAUUAGAUCCAUGAGUUCAAUGGGCUGUACCUGCAUCUUGUGAUGAACAUAGGUUACAGUAAUAUGUGAUCUCAUUUGUGUUGCAAAUAUUGUUUUAUCACCUACGGAAAAGUCUCGAAUAUGAGAUCGUGACUAUGAGAGAGUAUCAGGGUGACCUGCCAAGUUUCCUGUACCUCGAAAUCAUGGACUGAGGGGAUGAAGUCAGAAUAGUUGCAGGGCGGCCCUAUCUUUUGACCCUAUUGCUCGUGUGUUCCCUAGUGUAGUUUGUCACUUUUGGUUUUCGCGCCUGCGAAUUUCUAAAACCCAAGUGUGGGUUCUGUGGACAUUGGAUUUGAAUGUGUAUUGUUGGACGUAAAGUGCUAGUGGAAUGUUGAAGUCGCAGCAUUUCCCUGAAAUUUCCAUGAAAUGUUUGAAGUCGGACCUAAAGUGCCAGCGGAUAUAAAAGGACGGCUAGUGUUGUGUCAGGCAGUUUAUGAGUUGCAGAUGGAACAUGAUGGCUCAGUAUUAGAGCUGAGACGCGGGGGACUGGCUGUUCCGGCCGGACGGUGAGGACGCCU